AGACGGGACCCGCACAAGCGGUGGAUGAUGUGGAUUAAUUCGAUGCAACGCGAAAACCUUACCUACCUUGACAUGUCCGGAAUCCUGCAGAGAUGCGGGAGUGCCGAAAGGGAAUCGGAACACAGGUGCUGCAUGGCUGUCGUCAGCUCGUGUCGUGAGAUGUUGGGUUAAGUCCCGCAACGAGCGCAACCCUUGUCAUUAGUUGCCAUCAUUUGGUUGGGCACUCUAAUGAGACUGCCGGUGACAAACCGGAGGAAGGUGGGGAUGACGUCAAGUCCUCAUGGCCCUUAUGGGUAGGGCUUCACACGUCAUACAAUGGUCGGUACAGAGGGUUGCCAACCCGCGAGGGGGAGCUAAUCCCACAAAGCCGAUCGUAGUCCGGAUCGCAGUCUGCAACUCGACUGCGUGAAGUCGGAAUCGCUAGUAAUCGUGGAUCAGCAUGUCACGGUGAAUACGUUCCCGGGCCUU
rnacentral:rRNA from 1 species